GGAUAGUGGCGACGGGUGAGUAACACGUGGGCAAUCUGCCCUGCACUCUGGGACAAGCCCUGGAAACGGGGUCUAAUACCGGAUAUGACCGUCUGCCGCAUGGUGGAUGGUGUAAAGCUCCGGCGGUGCAGGAUGAGCCCGCGGCCUAUCAGCUUGUUGGUGAGGUAGUGGCUCACCAAGGCGACGACGGGUAGCCGGCCUGAGAGGGCGACCGGCCACACUGGGACUGAGACACGGCCCAGACUCCUACGGGAGGCAGCAGUGGGGAAUAUUGCACAAUGGGCGAAAGCCUGAUGCAGCGACGCCGCGUGAGGGAUGACGGCCUUCGGGUUGUAAACCUCUUUCAGCAGGGAAGAAGCGAAAGUGACGGUACCUGCAGAAGAAGCGCCGGCUAACUACGUGCCAGCAGCCGCGGUAAUACGUAGGGCGCAAGCGUUGUCCGGAAUUAUUGGGCGUAAAGAGCUCGUAGGCGGCUUGUCACGUCGGUUGUGAAAGCCCGGGGCUUAACCCCGGGUCUGCAGUCGAUACGGGCAGGCUAGAGUUCGGUAGGGGAGAUCGGAAUUCCUGGUGUAGCGGUGAAAUGCGCAGAUAUCAGGAGGAACACCGGUGGCGAAGGCGGAUCUCUGGGCCGAUACUGACGCUGAGGAGCGAAAGCGUGGGGAGCGAACAGGAUUAGAUACCCUGGUAGUCCACGCCGUAAACGGUGGGCACUAGUGUGGGCAACAUUCCACGUUGUCCGUGCCGCAGCUAACGCAUUAAGUGCCCCGCCUGGGGAGUACGGCCGCAAGGCUAAAACUCAAAGGAAUUGACGGGGCCGCACAAGCGCGAGCAUGUGGCUUAAUUCGACGCA
rnacentral:rRNA from 1 species